rnacentral:rRNA from 1 species
UACGUAGGGGGCAAGCGUUGUCCGGAAUUAUUGGGCGUAAAGAGCUCGUAGGCGGCUUGUCGCGUCGGCUGUGAAAACCUGGGGCUCAACCCCGGGCCUGCAGCCGAUACGGGCAGACUAGAGUUCGGCAGGGGAGACUGGAAUUCCUGGUGUAGCGGUGAAAUGCGCAGAUAUCAGGAGGAACACCGGUGGCGAAGGCGGGUCUCUGGGCAUUAACUGACGCUGGAGGAGCGAAAGCAUGGGGAGCGAACAGG